AUGGGGUUAUCCGACAGAGAGUUGUCGGGUGAUUCUGCAGGUUCAUCUAUAGCGCACAAGCAACAUUUUGGUCCAACAAAUCAGGCACAGAGUGUCUCGCAAUGUUCAGAUAGCUUUGGGGCACCAUCAAAGAAGAGACCAGCGGGGCGACCUACGACAAGCCACGAGAAAGCGCCAUAUGAACAGCCAGCUAAAAGGAGCCGGUUAUGUUUGAUUUGCCGUGGGCAAGGGCACAAGAGCACUAUGUGUCCGCAGCGCGGCAAUCUUCCCAAGGCGCCGAGGAAGUCGCCUCGCUGCUCAAGGUGUAGUCUGACAGGCCACAAAAGGAACACAUACACCAACGCGCCCAUUGCAGAUUUCUACGACUGA
rnacentral:rRNA from 1 species